rnacentral:lncRNA from 1 species
UUUAAACCUUAAAAUAUUUUAAAAAAAGAGAUAAUUGUCUAUAAAUCUCUCAAAACUUCAAAAAUAUCUAAUUUACUCUUACUUUUAUUUUUUGUUUCCAGUAUAUCCUUCAUAUGUUAUUCCGUUAUUCAAAAAUACUCCCGCAGUUAUCACCCGUUAAAUUAUCUCGGGGUAAACAUGAGUUAAAUGUCUAUCAGAGUUUUAAAAAAUCAAUAUACCUAUUUUGCCCUUAAGUUAAGGGCAAAUAACAGAAGUUGGUGAUGGUAGAAAAAUAUAUUCGAAAAAAUCAAAAAUUAAAAUACAUCUUAUGGGCAAAUUAGAAAAGUUGGUGAUGGUAGAAGGGUAUAUUUGAAGGGGCAAAAUAGUAAUUUCACAGAUAUAACAACUACUGCUAACAAUUCACUAACAAAAGUUUAACUCUAUAUAGGUCCGUAUAUUGAAAAUAACUUGGAACGUAAAAAAAAAUAUUUUUAAUAUUAGCCUUCUAACGGGGGUAAAUCAGAAAAUCGAAAGCUUUUUAAGGGUAUAUAAGCAAUUGUCCCUUAAAAGAAUAUAAGGGGUUGUUUGGUUGGAUGCAGUUAUCAAAAAUAGUAUACUUGGAAUUAUAUGUAGUUACAAAUGUUGCAGUCAUAAUUACACCUAGUUUGUUUGGUUUUAUGCAGUUGUAACUGCUACGGUUACAUUUCUUCUAUUUGGUAGGCUGCAGUUGAGAUUUGUAUUUAUAAAUUCUGUCAAUUUUUAGAUAGAAAUAUGAGAUUACCUCUUCUGAACAUACCAUAAUUAUGAGAUCUUUUAAUUAUUGAUUAAGACUUUUAUAUCUAUAUAUAAUUUAUAUAUUAUAAAAUUAUAUAUGAAUUUAAUGAAUUUUAAAUACAAAUACAUUAUAAAUUUAGUCAAAAAAAAAUUAAGGUAUUAUUGAACUAGCAAAUUGGAAAAAAAUGCAGCGUAUGAAAAAAAAAAAAUUAUUGAACCUUAUCAUACAUUAUUAAAUCCUAGUAGAUUUCGUGAUUAGGUAUUCUUGAAAAAAAAAUUAAAAAAAGAAGCGUAUUAAAAAAANUUUUAUAUCUAUAUAUAAUUUAUAUAUUAUAAAAUUAUGUAUGAAUUUAAUAAAUUUUAAAUACAGAUAUAUUAUAAAUUUGGUCAAAACAAAAAUUAAUGCAUUAUUGAACUAGCAGACUAGAAAAAAAUAAAGCG